CGCCGCCCAUUCGUUUGUCCGGCUGCCAGUCAAACGUUCUCUGAUGAGUUCCCGCGGGAAUGCGGCCGUGUGUUGAUCAGCAGCUGCUAAACGUGAACUGUCAUCAACUGUCAGCAGCAAUCCAGCGCUGAUCCUGUUCAUCUUCUGGAGCAUUUUAAAGAGGAUUUUUCUCAGGAUCGGUUCUGCUGUCUAAACCCGAACCCUCCGGACCGGAUGUCAUGUGGAACACUGGACUGAAUAAGCUUGUGUGGUGAUGAAGCUCCAGCUGUGUGGAGCAGUGAUGGAGGAAGGUCUCGUUACAGACUUUACAGGAAGAGCAGCUACAGGUGGAGCGGGACAGAGCAGAGGUUCCCAAACUGCUGACAGGAAGAAGGAAAGACAUAACCUGAUGCUGAGAGCAUUCAGACAUUUACAGUUACACUCUAAAGGCCUUUUGACAGAUUGCUCUGAUAUGAGGCUUCACUGUUGACUUUUUUCUGAUUUUUUUCAAGAACAAUAAACUGCACAAAAAUUA